rnacentral:rRNA from 1 species
UACGUAGGGUGCAAGCGUUGUCCGGAAUUAUUGGGCGUAAAGAGCUCGUAGGCGGUUUGUCGCGUCUGCUGUGAAAACCCGAGGCUCAACCUCGGGCCUGCAGUGGGUACGGGCAGACUAGAGUGCGGUAGGGGAGAUUGGAAUUCCUGGUGUAGCGGUGGAAUGCGCAGAUAUCAGGAGGAACACCAAUGGCGAAGGCAGAUCUCUGGGACGGUACUGACGCUGAGACGCGAAAGCGUGGGGAGCGAACAGG